rnacentral:rRNA from 1 species
CCUACGGGGGGCAGCAGUGAGGAAUAUUGGUCAAUGGACGAGAGUCUGAACCAGCCAAGUAGCGUGAAGGAUGACUGCCCUAUGGGUUGUAAACUUCUUUUAUAAAGGAAUAAAACGAGGCACGUGUGCCUGUUUGCAUGUACUUUAUGAAUAAGGAUCGGCUAACUCCGUGCCAGCAGCCGCGGUAAUACGGAGGAUCCGAGCGUUAUCCGGAUUUAUUGGGUUUAAAGGGAGCGUAGAUGGGUUGUUAAGUCAGUUGUGAAAGUUUGCGGCUCAACCGUAAAAUUGCAAUUGAUACUGGCAGUCUUGAGUACAGUUGAGGUAGGCGGAAUUCGUGGUGUAGCGGUGAAAUGCUUAGAUAUCACGAAGAACCCCGAUUGCGAAGGCAGCUUACUGAACUGUGACUGACAUUGAUGCUCGAAAGUGUGGGUAUCAAACAGGAUUAGAUACCCCAGUAGUC